rnacentral:tRNA from 1 species
GGGGUCAUGGCUCAGUGGUAGAGCGCUUGCCUAGCUUGCAUGAGGUACUGGGUUCGAUCCCUGGCACCA